rnacentral:rRNA from 1 species
AGAGUUUGAUCAUGGCUCAGGAUGAACGCUGGCGGUAUGCUUAACACAUGCAAGUCGAACGAAAGUUUUUAACUUUAGUGGCGAACGGGUGCGUAAUACGUGAGAAUCUACCCUUAAGAGGAGUAUAACUGUUGGAAACGGCUGCUAAAACUCCAUAUGUCGAGAGAUGAAAUAACUUUGUUGCUUAAGGAUGAGCUCGCGCCUGAUUAGCUAGUUGGUAAGGUAAUGGCUUACCAAGGCCACGAUCAGUAGCUGGUUUGAGAGAACGAUCAGCCACACUGGGACUGAGACACGGCCCAGACUCCUCCGGGAGGCAGCAGUGAGGAAUUUUCCGCAAUGGGCGAAAGCCUGACGGAGCAAUACCGCGUGAGGGAUGAAGGAUUUUGGUCUGUAAACCUCUUUUCUCAAGAAAGAAGUUCUGACGGUACUUGAGGAAUAAGCAUCGGCUAACUCCGUGCCAGCAGCCGCGGUAAUACGGGGGAUGCAAGCGUUAUCCGGAAUCAUUGGGCGUAAAGCGCCUGUAGGUUGUUUAAUAAGUCUGUUGUUAAAGACUAGGGCUUAACCCUAGAAAAGCAAUGGAAACUACUAGACUAGAGUAUGGCAGGGGUAGAGGGAAUUUCUAGUGUAGCGGUGAAAUGCGUAGAUAUUAGAAAGAACACCGGCGGCGAAAGCGCUCUACUGGACCAUUACUGACACUCAGAGGCGAAAGCUAGGGUAGCAAAAGGGAUUAGAUACCCCUGUAGUCCUAGCCGUAAACGAUGGAUACUAGAUGUUGCGUGUAAUGUGCAGUAUCUUAGCUAACGCGUUAAGUAUCCCGCCUGGGGAGUACGCUCGCAAGGGUGAAACUCAAAGGAAUUGACGGGGGCCCGCACAAGCGGUGGAGCAU